rnacentral:rRNA from 1 species
UACGGAGGGUGCGAGCGUUGUCCGGAAUCACUGGGCGUAAAGGGCGCGUAGGCGGCUUGGUAAGGGGGCGGUGAAAGCCCGGGGCUCAACCCCGGGUCUGCCGGACCGACUGCCGAGCUUGAGCACACUAGGGGCAGGUGGAAUUCCGGGUGUAGCGGUGGAAUGCGUAGAGAUCCGGAAGAACACCGGUGGCGAAGGCGGCCUGCCGGGGUGUGCCUGACGCUGAUGCGCGACAGCGUGGGGAGCAAACAGG